GAUGAACGCUAGCGGCAGGCCUAACACAUGCAAGUCGAGGGGCAGCAUAUUGGUAGUUUACUACUAAUGAUGGCGACCGGCGGACGGGUGCGUAACGCGUAUGCAACCUACCUUUAAGAGGGGGAUACUUCCGGGAAACUGGUUCUGAUACCCCAUAAUAUAGCUUAAGGCAUCUUAGUUUAUUGAAAUGAAUUUCGCUUAAAGAUGGGCAUGCGUUGUAUUAGAUUGUUGGUGAGGUAACGGCUCACCAAGUCUACGAUACAUAGGGGGACUGAGAGGUUUACCCCCCACACUGGUACUGAGACACGGCCCAGACUCCUACGGGAGGCAGCAGUGGGGGAUAUUGCACAAUGGGGGAAACCCUGAUGCAGCGACGCCGCGUGAGGGAAGAAGGUUUUUGGAUUGUAAACCUCUGUCUUUGGGGAAGAGUAGAAGACGGUACCCAAGGAGGAAGCCACGGCUAACUACGUGCCAGCAGCCGCGGUAAAAC
rnacentral:rRNA from 1 species